UACGUAGGGGGCAAGCGUUAUCCGGAUUUACUGGGUGUAAAGGGAGCGUAGACGGCGGUGCAAGCCAGAUGUGAAAGCCCGGGGCCCAACCCCGGGACUGCUCUGGGAACUGUGCGGCUGGAGUGCGGGAGGGGCAGGCGGAAUUCCUGGUGUAGCGGUGAAAUGCGUAGAUAUCAGGAGGAACACCGGCGGCGAAGGCGGCCUGCUGGACCGCGACUGACGUUGGGGCACGAAAGUGUGGGGAGCAAACAGG
rnacentral:rRNA from 1 species